AGGUGACAAUGACGUAUAUGAUGUCACAGACCAGUUGCUAGCUGGUAACGAACGCAUGUUACCUGAGUCU